GUGUCAGCAGCCGCGGUAAUACUGAGUUUUCGAGCGUUAAUCGGAAUUACUGGGCGUAAAGCGCAUGCAGGCGGCCUGUUAAGUCAGAUGUGAAAGCCCGGGGCUUAACCUCGGAAUUGCAUUUGAAACUGGCAGGCUAGAGUCUUGUAGAGGGGGGUAGAAUUUCAGGUGUAGCGGUGAAAUGCGUAGAGAUCUGAGGGAAUACCAGUGGCGAAGGCGGCCCCCUGGACAAAGACUGACGCUCAGAUGCGAAAGCGUGGGGAGCAAACAGGAUUAGAUAACCUCGUAGUUC
rnacentral:rRNA from 1 species